ensembl:snRNA U6 U6 spliceosomal RNA
GUGCUUGCUUUGGUAGCACAUGUACUAAAAUUGGAAUGAUACAGGGAAGAUUAUCAUGGCCUCUGUGCAAGGAUGACAUACAAAUUCAUGAAGUGUUCCAUACUAAA